rnacentral:rRNA from 1 species
UACGUAGGCAGCGAGCGUUGUUCGGAAUUACUGGGCGUAAAGAGUGUGUAGGCGGUGCUCCAAGUCUGUUGUGAAAUCUCCCGGCUUAACCGGGAGGGUGCAGCGGAAACUGGAAUGCUUGAGGGUGGGAGAGGUAAGCGGAAUUCCUGGUGUAGCGGUGAAAUGCGUAGAUAUCAGGAGGAACACCUGUGGUGUAGACAGCUUACUGGACCACUUCUGACGCUGAGACACGAAAGCUAGGGGAGCGAACGGG